rnacentral:ribozyme from 1 species
AUGCUUCUACCUGACCAGACGAGGAUUUUCAAAUAGUGCGAGUUUUGUACAGCGCGAUCUCAACCUCACCACGGCC